rnacentral:rRNA from 1 species
UACGAAGGGGGCUAGCGUUGUUCGGAAUUACUGGGCGUAAAGCGCGCGCAGGCGGCUAUCCAAGUCAGUGGUGAAAGCCCGGAGCUCAACUCCGGAACUGCCAUUGAAACUGUUUAGCUUGAGGAUGAGAGAGGUGAGUGGAAUUCCCAGUGUAGAGGUGAAAUUCGUAGAUAUUGGGAAGAACACCGGUGGCGAAGGCGGCUCACUGGCUCAUUACUGACGCUCAGGCGCGAUAGCGUGGGGAUCAAACAGGG